AUUGAACGCUGGCGGCAGGCCUAACACAUGCAAGUCGAGCGGAUGAGUGGAGCUUGCUCCAUGAUUCAGCGGCGGACGGGUGAGUAAUGCCUAGGAAUCUGCCUGGUAGUGGGGGACAACGUUUCGAAAGGAACGCUAAUACCGCAUACGUCCUACGGGAGAAAGUGGGGGAUCUUCGGACCUCACGCUAUCAGAUGAGCCUAGGUCGGAUUAGCUAGUUGGUGAGGUAAAGGCUCACCAAGGCGACGAUCCGUAACUGGUCUGAGAGGAUGAUCAGUCACACUGGAACUGAGACACGGUCCAGACUCCUACGGGAGGCAGCAGUGGGGAAUAUUGGACAAUGGGCGAAAGCCUGAUCCAGCCAUGCCGCGUGUGUGAAGAAGGUCUUCGGAUUGUAAAGCACUUUAAGUUGGGAGGAAGGGCAGUAAGUUAAUACCUUGCUGUUUUGACGUUACCAACAGAAUAAGCACCGGCUAACUUCGUGCCAGCAGCCGCGGUAAUACGAAGGGUGCAAGCGUUAAUCGGAAUUACUGGGCGUAAAGCGCGCGUAGGUGGUUCGUUAAGUUGGAUGUGAAAGCCCCGGGCUCAACCUGGGAACUGCAUCCAAAACUGGCGAGCUAGAGUAUGGCAGAGGGUGGUGGAAUUUCCUGUGUAGCGGUGAAAUGCGUAGAUAUAGGAAGGAACACC
rnacentral:rRNA from 1 species